CGGAGUUGGAUCGGGACCAGCCGGCACUCUGGCACCGUUCAAGCCGAUAGGCAGGCAGGCACCUUCGGUUCCGUUGCACUGUCGCAUGCGUGCCUCCGGCGCAGAGAAAGAUGGAUUGUUGGCUGCAAGGUCAACUGCUGGUGGCGUCAGCUCUGAAAGUAGAACAGGCCACGGAACAGAAGAGAGAGAGAGCAGAGGAACUGAGGCUAACCGCAGGUGUCUCCGGAAGGUGGUGAUUGACUCCGCUGUCCUGGCAUCGUGAGGGAGCUUGUUCCACCAUUAUAACCGAUAGGUUGCAAGAUUGAAUCCCCGAGCCGACAAGGAAGACCUACAGUUACUACGUCACAUUACCUCAUCCUUCACGUGAACUUCGGGGGCAAGAAGCAGGGGGAAUGACAUCACUGGCUGCCUCCUUCCCUACCCCUCAGUAGGACCUUCCUUGACCAAUGUAGUGAGGACCUGAAAUUAAGAGAACAUUCAGCAGCAUGUUGGCAUUACCUCAAUACUACAACAAAUACUCUGAAGCCAAAAUCAUACCAAUCACUUCCGCAGUCUGCAGAUGACUUGCAUUACGUGCUCUGAGGAAGGCACUGUUCCGAAAACAUUGGCGAUACCCAAUAAACCAUUGGAAGCAUAUAUAUAUAUUAUGCUACUUUCUUUAUUUAAAAUGUACCUCUCCAUUUGUCAGCACCUCGGACUAUUUGGGUGUGCAUUAACUGCUGCUUUUUAUUUUAAAAAAUGACCCCAAAUGCAAUAAAACAUUCUUG